UCCAGAGACCAGAGUAGGGAGUUCCAGACCCAGCCACCGACGCAUCGAGCCAGCCGCUCGCUUCCUUUCGCGACCUCCGGAUUUCGCCAUCUUGCUGACUUGCUCGCUCGUCGCUCGCCGUCCCCGCCUGUGUAGCCGAUCGUUGGGCGCCCAGGACCACAGCCUGUCCGUCCCGUCCGCUCGGUGUUUGGGGCUCGACGGCGGCCGCGCCACCUCAACUGCGCAGUCGUGCCCCUGCAAGCCGGCGCUGGCGCCGGCGCCCAAUCCGCACGUCGGCGCUCGACCGCAGGCAGCCAGCAACCAUCCGUGUUGAUUUGAGGUACCAGUUCAGCUCGUCCACUACCCAUUUGGCGAUUACCAAGUUUUGAUUCGAGGGUUUGCUCUUCUCUGUACUACUCAGUACAUAAUUUGUGUUGAAUUAUAUUACUAUGAAUUUAUAAUUGAUAUUAAGUAAAUUAGUUAGAUUGUCUCUAAGUCUUCUAUGCAAAACUGAGACUUAAUUGACAAUUUUAGUAUGUUUGUAAGACCAUAUCGAUCUAUUUCUGUGGUAUUGGUAGUUAGUUAGAACGUUCACAAUGUCAUAUUUGUUGUCAAUUUUUUUAGGAGGACACCCUGUUUUCAAAUCCUAGAUCCGCCAUUGAUCAUAAGCUCAACCUUUACAUUCUGGAAUUUGAAAUGCCGAUCUGCUUAAAAUAGGUAACUUAAUCAGAUAAAGAUGUUAUAUGAAUAUCUUAUAGAUACUAUUCUCAGACAACAUGAACAACAUGGAUUAUCCAACUGAAGUUAGCCGAAGCUAAAUAUAACCUUCGCAAGCAUCUGAAAGAAUUGCUUCAUUUGUCUCUCAUACUGUGGAAAAGUAGAGUGGUGAUACAAUUGAUCACCAAUGGGUGCACAAAUAAGGAGUACAGUUUGAGGCGUUAAAAACUAAAUGCAAAUCAAAAUUAGUAAUUCAAAUCUAUCUGUAACAAAAUGUAGCGAACUAUACGAAAGAGUCAAGCACAUACUUAUGUCAGCCACUUAAAGACAAAUGUGACGAAGUGAGAAACAUUACUGCCAAUAAAAUUUGGAGGAUCCGUGCAAAGAUCAACUUGCAUGGAAUUAAAAGAAAACAAAAGUAGUUGCAGUCAUGAAUUAGUGAUGCGGGACUGCAUAUCAGAACGGAAGUAACUGACAAAAAUAAUUAGCUCACCUUCUUAAAACAUAGGUGAAGCUUGGCACUGCAGUAGAUAAAAUUUUGUAGAUUAAUAAGUGAAACAAAAAAUUGCAAGAAUGACUGCAGAAAGAAGCCAUUAUGUUCAUAACAUGUAGGUAAUGCGAGAAUAAUAUGGCAGGCUACAAACCAUCUGAAAAGCCCUAUGCACACUGUAUUUCUACCCUAUCCAUAAGACCAAAUUAUUUAUGUUGGAACCCACAUAUAUCAGUACAUUUCUACUGUGCGGUUGGAAGAGAAACUGAGAUCCACCAAGAGAAAUACUAGAAAGUGGUCGCAGGUAGGAUCCUAAUUAAUGAUACAAUGAAUGCAAUCAGGUCAAAAUAAUAUUCUACCUUGUCAUAGUUAAAAAUACAAAAUUACUAAUUUACAAACACAUAAUUAGCAGAUAAGUUCUUAGCAAAAGUUGUAGAGAAAGUUUCUUGAGAGCCAAUACACUACCUUGACUGGAAAAGUAACCCAAAAAUAUAAUUGUGUUGGAUAAAUGUAGGUUAAGCAUAGAGAAUGCUGCAUAAUACCUCAUCACUUAAGCCUCAUAUAUGUCAGUUUGGUACGACAACUUCCUGCAAUUUAAAUCUCGUAGUAGACAUGUAUGAUUUGCUACCUCACAUGCACAUUUGAUUGCAUUUGAAAUUAUAUUCUUCACAUAUGCUCUUAUCGGUAGAAAAAUGUGGAAUGAUGAUUUAUCAACCAUAGAAAGAAACAUAUUGCUACAUUGUAUAUCAGAGAGAGGGAAAGAACCACAAUAGGAUAAAUGCCAGUGUAAGGCGAACAUGUAACAUGAACAUGGUCACUCAGAACAACGGUGCAGUUUUUAAGCAUACUGAACUGAUAAAGGGGAUGCGAGUCGAAGCUUCAUACAUUUCCGUACAUACCUAGAAUCAUUUUCAAUAAUUCUAAAUUUGUGGCUAACUUGAAAAGACGAUGCAUGCUAUCUUAAGCACCAACGACUGGCGAAACUAAAAAUAAGCACCUAAAAAUGCCUUAUACAACAAUAUCAUGUAGUAGUUUCUAUAUACCCGAGCCAUCUUGGCUUAGCCAACGGUCUAUGGUACCUCAUCACUUAAGCUCAGACUUAUCAAUACAGUACUACAACUUCACUUCGAUGUAAAUCCUAGAGAAUACACGUAUGUCUUUCUACCUCAUGUACGUGUAUCCAUUUCAGAUUCCAUUAUUCACCGGUGCUCUUGAACAUGGUCACACAAAAUGUUUGUAAGAUAUAAGGAAAACAUACUGAACCGGAAAAAAAGAUGUCAGUCAGAGCUGUGUACAUUUCCUUGCAUACCUUGAUUCAAUUCUUUCUAAUUUGAGGCUACCACGUAAGCAUGAUGCAUGCUUCAAUAUUAUCCAUACAUGUAAAUAUAAGAAAGCUAUGAUAUUCUUGCCACACAAUUUAUUUUCAGCUAUACCAAGACAUUCCUUGAGCAUCUGGGCAUCUGGAAGGCAAUCUAGAGAUUGUAAGACCGUGCACCUUAAACAUAUGUAUUAAGUAUAGAGUGAAUAUUUUCGGGAGGACCAUGGAUGUCUAGAAGAUAGGUCUAAAACUGUGUUCAUUAUGGUAGUAUAAGAAAACUCUAUUACAAAAAUCCAAUGUGCAUUGACAUCUUAAAACAUUGGUCAACUGGACAAUUUACAGAACCUUCUGAAAUCAUUGACCAUGUGCGUGUUGCCAUUACCUAUUCUAACAUAUAAGGUUGCUAGCCAACUUGGCUCCUCGGUGAUCCCCCGGUUUGCUGCCUUCCUGGCCAUUAGAUCGUCCUCGUUUUGCGUCUGAGCCGUCAGAUCUUCACCUCCUGGUAAAUCUUGUUUUCACCCUGCGGUUGUUUUUCCUGCCCAAUGACGGGUGGGCUCGUCUCGCCUUCGUAUUGGCUGGGUCAGCUGCGCUCGUGUGCAAGAGGGAUUCGCCAGACAGCCCCGCACGCCCGCACCGCGUCUCGUCUCAAGUGGCGCAGGUCCCCAACCCCCACGGCCCCACCACAUAAACCCUAGCCUCCCAAGCCCCGCAGCGCCACACUCCCUCCUCCUCCUCCAUCCUUCCUCGCCAGCCGCCGCCGCCGCUGUUCCGCCUCGCUCCUCUCUGUCCGACGACCACGUCACCGCGAGGAAGCCGCCGCGCAAGUGGUCAGGGGACGGCCGCCAUCGUGAGCCAGGAGACCCCCGUUGGCGAGCCUCUGGGCAGGAAGCCGACGUGGAGGACGCAACAAGCUGCCAGGGUCUUCUCGCUAGAAGGUGGAGGAGUAGAGGUUCCCGCCGGAUCCGAGGCGUGCGGCGCGGCGGUGAGCGUCUCCGGUAGCGGCGGUGGCCUGCGGGGGCAAAGGGUGACGGCUGGGGUGCUCGAUUCGAUCCAGCGCCAGGAAGGGAGGUAGAGGAACGACGGGGAAGGGGAUGGGCAGGAGCUUCAUGCCCUGAAUCCAGUCGCCCCGGGCCGUGCCUACAUGAGCAGCACCGCGGCUCGAUGCUUCCCCGCCCGACGAGGACGGCAAGCUAGGUGUUGACAAUGGCAGCCCCAGGCCAUCCGAUCUGUCACCGCCGCCGUUCUUUUGGUCGAGGGCCGCCGUCGUCCACGUGCUCCUCAUCACCCCCACGGCUGGACGCUGGCGAGGUCAACCUCCCCUCCAAGCGCGGGUACUUCCCCGCUCCUUUUCCGUGCUCUCUCUCUUCCCCUGAUAUAUCUCUUUGUCGUACAGGGAAGCAAAUUUGUUCAAUUCUCAGUCUAGAUUUAAUGAAGAAAACUGCGGUUCAUACAACGCCAAUGGAUAUGGAUCCAUCUUGCUGCGCUGGAUAUGGAUCCAUCCUGCUGAUUUGGAAGAAAACUGCAGUUCAUACAAUGCUAAUUAUGGAUAUGGAUCCAUCUAAUACAGUUCUUCACAAAGCCCAAGAAUCGCAAGGCCAUGUACAUGUAACAAUGCAGGCCUAGAAUUAUCAUGUAUCCAAAUUGUUCAGUUCCAGUUCAGUUAUGAGCUAACAAGAUCACCUUAAUGUGCAGGGUUCAAUUGCUUUCGGGGUCAUACUUUUCCUGGUCCUUAUUGGCUGGCCUGACUUCGGCAUGAUGGCGGAGUCGUAUGGCUUUGCCCUGCUAUUCUGGUUAUCCUCUAUUGUGCAUUAAUAUGAUCUUCUGAUGUCUGUUUUUAUUUUAAGUGUGCAUUAAGAAAUGGUAGAAACUUUUGGGUAUUGUAUCUGGCUGGUACUGAAUUUCCUCACAACAGCUUCUGGCCUGCUGCUGUUGUUUACCUGCAAAAAAAACCCACCAUCGGUUGGAUUUUCUAGCACCCUUAUGUGAUAUCGGUGGGCUUUGCUGUUGCUGAGCUUCCUAAAUUUUCUUCGAGUCCAACCCAGUUUGGUCGCCACUUUAUUUACAUGGUCUUGUUCUUGCGAGGGAUUGUGUUUAUCAAGAUUGAUGAACUAUAUGACUGGAUCCCAGCCCCCAUUGUUCUUACUGCUGUUUCCUACUUCUGUAAUUAACCUUUACUGAGUGCUGUUAGGUCUUUAGCAUAACACUCUAAAUAUUUAAGCUAAUAAGGAUACCCUUAGAUGACUGACCCUGUAAUUAACCUUAUUCAGUGUAUGAGCUACAGAGCAUGAAAUUGGGAAAAUACAAAUAUGAUUGGUGGUUGGUUCACCAUUUAAAAAUUUGAUCCACCAAUUGUGUCUCAGUGAUUUCUACUUGGCUAAAACCACGCCAAUAAUUUUGGAACGAUGGAGUACUUAUUUGUUGUUGUGUAUUUGAUGGUUUGAUAAAAAUAUCAUGAAGGUUAAAUCGGGCGUGGUUUUGAUAUAUUUUUGUUACAAGAUAUUACACCGGCUUUCUGGUUUGGAAAUACUUAUAAUCGUUUUCUUCUAACUGCAUGUUAGGCCACACUUUUGUAGACUACUUAGGAUAGAGAUGAUAUGAAUGUGUGCAACAAAAUUCUUUACUCGGGAAUGGCUUGGUAGGUCUCUCGACUAUUCGGUUUCAUCCGUAGGAUUAAAAUUUCUUCAACUUGCUCUCCUCCCACCUUCAAUUUCUUUAAAAUCGUUGUAUUGACAAGUAGAAACAGUAGCUUGUUUGAAUUACGUAAAGUUCAUCCAUGUAACAGUUGCCUCUUAAAGACUGCUGACAAAGUGCAAAUUUGAUAUAAUUUUGCUGAUGACGCAAAAUGAUCGUACACUGAAACCAAAGCCUUUGGAAUUGAAACACAAACCUUACUUAAGAGCAGGCAGAGGCGCAGAGCCAACGGUAUGCUCUUGGAUCAAUAUUUCACAGGUUAAACAACAUUCAUAUGUUCUAGCAUCUUUAGAUUUACAUUUUCUUUUUAACAGUCUAAUUACUCCAUGUAAAAACUGCAUCCAUUUUGGUAUGUGAUACUGCAAGUGUAAAUUAAGAAAGUAGCCUUCACGGUCUAGCUUCAGCAUCUGUAAAUCAUGGAUAUGUACAUACUACAUAAAAAUGGAGCAUCCUUACUCGAUUGCGUUCUUCUGUUUUACAGGUGAUGUUGUUGCCUGGUCUUCUAAACUGCCGCUUGUUUAUCGUUUGCUGUUUUGCUUAUCAAGGAGGGUAACUACUGGAAGCAGUUGGCAAGACAAGCAGUCAAUGGAUCUCAAAGCGUUGAUCCUGAAGGAAGGUAACUACUCAAAGGUAUGCACAUAUUCAUGUUGGAGCAGUUAAGUUUGCAAGGAUCUGCUGUUGGAGGGCAUGGUAUGUGCUCUCAAGAAGUUCUUUAUUAUCCGGUGACAUCUUUUGGCCUAUUGAGGAACUGGACAUGAUUUAUAUAGCGAAGUUAAGCGUAUGGAUGACAACUUCCUCUCAUACCUCUUUUGACCUAUUGAGGAACUAGACAUGAUUUAUAUAGCGAAGUUAAGUGUAUGGAUGACAACUUCCUCUCAUACAUGUUAUCUGUAUAUUUUAUAUACAUGGCUUUUGUGUUCUGUCAUGUGCGUUCCUGCUGCAGACUUUUGUAGGAAAUUCACCAUGGGAAUUUAAAUAAUGGUUCCCUGCCCAUCAGUUUACUUUCUUGCAUUUUAUAGGCCACACUUUUCCUAUUUUGUUAAAGAAGUGAACUCAUUCCUAAACUUCCACCGUAUAUACAUUAACACUGGGAUACUGUACCAACCCAGCAAUACUAAAAAACUAUGAAUUGUGUGUCAGUGUAGUACUAUAUCCCACUGAUGAUGCUUCUCUGUAACACGUUUAUCUAUUUGGUUGCAUGCCUUGAAGGAGUAGUAUAUUGAGCACCCUGAGAUAAUCAUCGAGAAGUUUGGUGGAAUUUUAAAUGAUUUAUUAAGCGACCUUUUAUGAUUGACCAUUGUACGAGAGCAUGUUUUAGUACUACUUGAGAGAGUUAGAAUGUAUAUAUUUUCAACUAAAACCAAUUUUUUCAAAAGGCAAAAUAAUUUCUGCAUGAUCACAUAUCAUGAUUAUCUCCAUGAAGAAUGCUUUAGACAGUACAAUAAUGAAAAUAAGCAUUUUUGGCCUUCGAAACAUAUACUGUUGUUGGGACAUCUGAAUAUCUGAUUGGACCUUUCUAUGUAGAAAAUGAGAAGUGCUAAGUGUACAGAAACCUGCACUUCAUAUUUCUUACAUGCGUGAUUUAUCAUCUACGAUACUCUUUUAUAUUGCUUACUUGCGUGAUUUGUCUGAUUGCCAGUAGAAAUAUUUACGUUAGCAUGUCAGUUUGCUAACUUAGUACCUUCCAUCUUAUACAUUGAUAAUGCUUUGAAGACACCGACAAGAAUAACUAAAUUAAAUUGGGCCUGAACAUGUCAAUUGAACAAUGACAGGUUCUCACCUUUCAACGAAGGAUCUCAUUUAAAAUCCUAAUUUUGGAUGUCUAGGUGGUUGGCUGAUGGAGUGUUGCACUGCUGCUUAUUUAAUGAUCAGUAGUGCAGCUCACGAUUUGAUUUAAUUAGCGUUUUUGUAGUGAAAAUAUGAAGACAAAUUUUCUAAACAACUUCAGGAUAUCUUUGAAAGAAUGUGCUAGAUUUUGGUCCUAUUAUAUUUUCUCAAUUCCUAUGUCAUCUCUCACAUGGCUAUGUGGUCUCCCUGGUUUUGUCUUUACAUUAUAUCUAUGUUGUACUACUGCUACCCCGCGCUACAGAAAGUAUUUUUUAUAUCAGCUUUGCUCUCGUGUGUGCAAGGAUUCCAUUCAGGUAUGAAAAACACCACCCCUCAUGAAGUUACUUCUUUUCAGAGAGAGAAUGAUCAUUGGUUUUUAUAUGGAUUCAGUGCACAUAAAUAAUUAGCUCCCAUUUUAAGUUUGGUUUUGGAAUUAGCUUUCCAGUUCUGUACAUGUUUUCCUCUGAUGAUGGAUUUCUUCUUCUAAGAUGAAUUGAUAACUUUAGCACCAAAUAUGAAGUUAUUUGGACAAAGAAAAGCUUCCUUCCUCUUUGCUAUUUUCUCUCUUUAGUGUUACUUUUUUUAGAACACUCUUUAGUGUUGCUUUGAUGUUCCUUUGUCACUGUUCGAUAUUCUGCCUUGUGUGCCUCUGUCUUGGUUUACAGCUCCAUAUGGCUACCUAUGUGUGUGUGUGUGUGUGUGUGUGUGUGUGUAUAGAUAUGUAGGUUUUGUUUGAACUGUACUCAAACCGUGCAGAUGUUUCCAUAUUCUUGCCUUCAUCUUUUUAACUCGUGACUUUGUUAGAUAGUUGAAUAUCAUUGGCCUCUGUCGGCAUUCUAUUUUUGCAGUUUGAAAUGAGUAUUGGUCCAUUGAUAUUAAACUUCACAAUAGGUGGUGGCAUCUCCAGGAAAAAGUAGUGGCAGAUAUGCUGGACAUUUCUUUUCUGCUGUCCUCAACACAUUUUUUAGUAACGGAGAGGAUUACUCACCUUUGGUGCUGCAGGCGUUCAAGACCUAGCAGGGCUGGGCCAACCGGCCCUUUGUGUUUGAAGAUCCCUGACACCCCAUGCUACCAGCCGGCAUCUUCUUCCUGAGCCAUGUCCGGAACCAGACCAGCAGGGGCACCCUGAGCGAGUACUCGAGGCAUGUUGUCAGGUCGGAGGGGUACAACCAGGCCAGCUGCCGUGUGUGUGCACGGUUCAUACAGUCAAGGUGUUCGCUCAUCUCCCAAGAUGAGCCAGAACGAGCAUGACAAGAGGAACCCCCCAUAUUUUUCAUUCCAAUGGUGUUGUAUGUUGGUUAAAGACUGUUUUUCUUCUCCAAUUAUGAAACCUCAAACGACAGCAAGAUAUAACAUUUUUGUUUGUUUUACAAUCAAAGCUUCCAUCGAAUAAUUUAUUAGAAUUA